GCUUUUUAAUAAACUUUCACUCCUGCUCUAAAACUUGCCUUAGUCUCUCCUUCUGCCUUAUGCCUCUCAGUCGAAUUCUUUCUUCUGACAAGGAAGAACUGAGGUUGCUGCAGACCCAUAUGGAUUCGCUGCUGCUGCUAACAUCACCUACCAGCCCCUCUCCACAGAGAAAGGCAUGAAGACACACAGAGGAGAAGCCUAUGAAGGCCUUGUGAAGAUGGAGGCAGAGAAUGGAGUGAUGCAUCUACAAGCCAAGGAAUGCCAAGCAUCUCCGACAACCACCAGAAGCUGAAAGAGGCAUGGAAGGAUCCUCCCAUUGAGCCUGUAGACAGGGCAUAGCCCUGCCCACAACUUGAUUUCAGGUUUCUUGCCUUCAGAACUGUAGAAGAAUAAAUUCCUGUUGUUUUAAGCCACCCAGUUUGUGGUAAUUUGCUAUGGCACCCUAGAAAAUGAACAUGAUCUCCUUUUUGUUGGAUUCCAUGGACAAUGUCUAUUCCUCAUAUUAUUUGACAUCGCAGCAGCAUACAGCACUAGUAACCCUGCCUCUUCCCACAAAUGCAUUCUCUCCUGGAAACCGUGCCCACACAUUCUCCUGGUUUGCAACUUCUGGCCACUUCCUUCUCUGUCCCCUCC
rnacentral:lncRNA from 1 species